GAUGAAGAACGUAGCGAAAUGCGAUAAGUAAUGUGAAUUGCAGAAUUCAGUGAAUCAUCGAAUCUUUGAACGCACAUUGCGCCCUCUGGUAUUCCGGGGGGCAUGCCUGUUCGAGCGUCAUUAUAACCACUCAAGCUCUCGCUUGGUAUUGGGGUUCGCGGUUCCGCGGCCCCUAAAAUCAGUGGCGGUGCCUGUCGGCUCUACGCGUAGUAAUACUCCUCGCGAUUGAGUCCGGUAGGUCUACUUGCCAGCAACCCCCAAUUUUUACAGGUUGACCUCGGAUCAGGUAGGGAUACCCGCUGAACUUAAGCAUAUCAACAAGCGGAGGA
rnacentral:misc_RNA from 1 species